GGGGGACGGGGGGGGUGCUAUACAUGCAGUCGAACGCGUUGGCCCAAUUGAUUGAUGGUGCUUGCACCUGAUUGAUUUUGGUCGCCAACGAGUGGCGGACGGGUGAGUAACACGUAGGUAACCUGCCCAGAAGCGGGGGACAACAUUUGGAAACAGAUGCUAAUACCGCAUAACAGCGUUGUUCGCAUGAACAACGCUUAAAAGAUGGCUUCUCGCUAUCACUUCUGGAUGGACCUGCGGUGCAUUAGCUUGUUGGUGGGGUAACGGCCUACCAAGGCGAUGAUGCAUAGCCGAGUUGAGAGACUGAUCGGCCACAAUGGGACUGAGACACGGCCCAUACUCCUACGGGAGGCAGCAGUAGGGAAUCUUCCACAAUGGGCGCAAGCCUGAUGGAGCAACACCGCGUGAGUGAAGAAGGGUUUCGGCUCGUAAAGCUCUGUUGUUAAAGAAGAACACGUAUGAGAGUAACUGUUCAUACGUUGACGGUAUUUAACCAGAAAGUCACGGCUAACUACGUGCCAGCAGCCGCGGUAAUACGUAGGUGGCAAGCGUUAUCCGGAUUUAUUGGGCGUAAAGAGAGUGCAGGCGGUUUUCUAAGUCUGAUGUGAAAGCCUUCGGCUUAACCGGAGAAGUGCAUCGGAAACUGGAUAACUUGAGUGCAGAAGAGGGUAGUGGAACUCCAUGUGUAGCGGUGGAAUGCGUAGAUAUAUGGAAGAACACCAGUGGCGAAGGCGGCUACCUGGUCUGCAACUGACGCUGAGACUCGAAAGCAUGGGUAGCGAACAGGAUUAGAUACCCUGGUAGUCCAUGCCGUAAACGAUGAGUGCUAGGUGUUGGAGGGUUUCCGCCCUUCAGUGCCGGAGCUAACGCAUUAAGCACUCCGCCUGGGGAGUACGACCGCAAGGUUGAAACUCAAAGGAAUUGACGGGGGCCCGCACAAGCGGUGGAGCAUGUGGUUUAAUUCGAAGCUACGCGAAGAACCUUACCAGGUCUUGACAUCUUGCGCCAACCCUAGAGAUAGGGCGUUUCCUUCGGGAACGCAAUGACAGGUGGUGCAUGGUCGUCGUCAGCUCGUGUCGUGAGAUGUUGGGUUAAGUCCCGCAACGAGCGCAACCCUUGUUACUAGUUGCCAGCAUUAAGUUGGGCACUCUAGUGAGACUGCCGGUGACAAACCGGAGGAAGGUGGGGACGACGUCAGAUCAUCAUGCCCCUUAUGACCUGGGCUACACACGUGCUACAAUGGACGGUACAACGAGUCGCGAACUCGCGAGGGCAAGCAAAUCUCUUAAAACCGUUCUCAGUUCGGACUGCAGGCUGCAACUCGCCUGCACGAAGUCGGAAUCGCUAGUAAUCGCGGAUCAGCAUGCCGCGGUGAAUACGUUCCCGGGCCUUGUACACACCGCCCGUCACACCAUGAGAGUUUGUAACACCCAAAGUCGGUGGGGUAACCUUUUAGGAGCCAGCCGCCUAAGUGAACAGAUGGG
rnacentral:rRNA from 1 species